rnacentral:rRNA from 1 species
AUUGAACGCUGGCGGCAGGCUUAACACAUGCAAGUCGAGCGGGGAGAUGUAGCUUGCUACAUUUCCUAGCGGCGGACGGGUGAGUAAUGCUUAGGAAUCUGCCUAUUAGUGGGGGACAACAUUCCGAAAGGAAUGCUAAUACCGCAUACGCCCUACGGGGGAAAGCAGGGGAUCUUCGGACCUUGCGCUAAUAGAUGAGCCUAAGUCAGAUAGCUAGUUGGUGGGGUAAAGGCCUACCAAGGCGACGAUCUGUAGCGGGUCUGAGAGGAUGAUCCGCCACACUGGGACUGAGACACGGCCCAGACUCCUACGGGAGGCAGCAGUGGGGAAUAUUGGACAAUGGGCGAAAGCCUGAUCCAGCCAUGCCGGGUGUGUGAAGAAGGCGUUUUGGUUGUAAAGCACUUUAAGCGAGGAGGAGGCUACUUGGAUUAAUACUCUAGGAUAGUGGACGUUACUCGCAGAAUAAGCACCGGCUAACUCUGUGCCAGCCGCCGCAGUAA